GAGGGGUCUGGGCCGGCGGGGCCGGGGACACUGGAGGGUGGACCCCCCUGGUAAUCGUGGGCUGACCUCACCAGGGCAGCGGUCACUUCAUCGGGGGCGCUGGAGGGCUCGCAGGGAGGGACUGGGCUGCAGAGAGGGGUUUGCACCCAGGGGUGGGUGCAGGGACGUCGUGGUUCAAACCUGCGCCCCAGGUGAAGUGGGGUCUGGCCUCACAGAUGGGUGAAAGCUGGGUUCUAGGGUCAGGCGCAGGGGAGGUCACAUCCCCCUCUGUGGGAUCUCGCCAGCCCCCUGAGCCUUACAGCACGUUCAGAACCCCUGUGUUGAUGUGGGCGUUUCCUUCUUCACCGCGUGUUUUCUGGGACCUGCCACUUCACUCCUGUGUCCCCAGCUUCUCGGAAAAGGGUAAAGGCCCGAGUAACUGCUAGCUGUCUGCACUGAAUUAGGGAAGAAGAAAUGCGCUGGCGGAAGCACAGUAACCAAUAGUUACUGGUAUAUUUGAGGACCCCAUACUCCUUAGGUGACAUGGUCCUGGUUGGAGGACCAUCUCUUGCUCUGCCCUCAGCCCUGCUGGAGGCUCGCUGCUCCCUUAGCCCGUGAUGCCGGGUGAAGACUCGUCUUUGCUCAGGCUCGUUCCCAUGGCUUCACUCAUUCAUUCCCCCACACCUGCUGCCUGGCAGGUGCUGUGCCGGAAUCUGGGGCAGAACUGCAAAGGACACAGACAGAGCCGCUGUUCUCUCAGGACUUACCUGAGAUACCUGCAACUCCUCUUCCAAAGCCACAUCCAAGCUCCAACAUCUCCUUUCUUUUUUGAUUGACAUAUAUACACUAAUAUGUAUAAAAUAGAUCACUAAUAAGAA